UACGAAGGGGGCUAGCGUUGUUCGGAAUUACUGGGCGUAAAGCGUGCGCAGGCGGCUUCUCAAGUCAGGGGUGAAAGCCCAGAGCUCAACUCUGGAAUUGCCUUUGAGACUGAGUGGCUUGAGUACGAGAGAGGUGAGUGGAAUUCCCAGUGUAGAGGUAGAAAUUCGUAGAUAUUCGGAAGAACACCAGUGGCGAAGGCGACUCACUGGACACGUAUUGACGCUGAGGUGCGAAAGCGUGGGGAUCAAACAGG
rnacentral:rRNA from 1 species